rnacentral:rRNA from 1 species
GCACAAGCGGUGGAGCAUGUGGAUUAAUUCGAUGCAACGCGAAGAACCUUACCUGGGUUUGACAUCACGUGAAAACUCGCAGAGAUGCGGGGUCCUUCGGGGCGCGUGACAGGUGGUGCAUGGCUGUCGUCAGCUCGUGUCGUGAGAUGUUGGGUUAAGUCCCGCAACGAGCGCAACCCUCGUUCGAUGUUGCCAGCGGUUCGGCCGGGGACUCAUCGAAGACUGCCGGGGUCAACUCGGAGGAAGGUGGGGAUGACGUCAAGUCUUCAUGCCCCUUAUGUCCAGGGCUUCACGCAUGCUACAAUGGCCGGUACAAAGGGCUGCGAUGCCGUAAGGUGGAGCGAAUCCCAAAAAGCCGGUCUCAGUUCGGAUCGGGGUCUGCAACUCGACCCCGUGAAGUCGGAGUCGCUAGUAAUCGCAGAUCAGCAUUGCUGCGGUGAAUACGUUCCCGGGC